GUAAACCAACCACUAGUUGUCAAAAAUAUUUGCCGGCGGAAUACAACACAGUAUCGAAACAGACAAACAAAAAAACAUGAAAUUCAAAGGAAUAUUGUCGGAUCAACUAUGCAUGAAAGAUUUUUUCAACAUUGUGUCGACAUUUGCACGGUUAUCAAAACGAGCAGUAUUCAAUAUAAGAAAGUCUGGGUUAUGUAUCAGCAAUGUCGGUAUUGGUAUUAAUGCGAAUUCUAUUGCUUGGUCACAAAUUGAAAGCAAAAACUUUUUCGCUCAUUUCAACAUGAAAGGAGUUGAUGAAAGUUAUGAUGAAAUUUGGUUAACUCUUUAUCCAGAGCAACUGGCAACUGCUUUAAAUACUGUAAAGACACAUUUCGUCAAAGUGAUUGUUUUGAAAUUAACGAAUAAACAAUUUCCUUGCAUUUCAGUUGAUAUCGAAAUGGCACCACAAAACUCCAAUAAUUAUAGACGGCUUGUGCAUGAUCUGCCUGUUUCGAUAAUACCAGUUAGAGAAUGGAAUGAAUAUCAUCAACCUGUGCUUAAAAACUUUGAUAUAUCUAUUCAAAUGCCAUCACUAAAAUCUUUGCGAACUCUUUGUGACAAAAUGAAGAAUCUUGCAGCAACCAUCACAAUAUGCUGUAUAUCAUCCGGUGAUUUAUCAUUUAUUGUUGAAACUGAUUCAGCAAUAGUUGUAAGUCGCUACUUCAAUUUAAUCCUAGAUCAAAUGAAUGAAGACAACAGCAACAUGGUAGAAGAUGGCCAGUCCAGAGAGAUUUGUUGUAACAUUGAUACGAAACAAUUGUCCAUGUGUUUUGGAAGUAUUCAGGUAUAUUAUUAGUUCAUUUUCACAAAUUGCUCAAAAUGAUUGAUUGAGAUUGAUAAGAGCGGACAGCUUUACUGUGUUGCGACCUAAAACCAAGAAAUUUGGAACCGCUUCCAAUCAUUUAGACAUUUAGUAUCAACGGUAUUUAAGCCUCAAGUAAAACCUGCAAAAAUAAAUACUUUUAUAUGGAAAAUAAUCAAAAUAAACGAUUUUCGUUGGAAAACUGCUAUUUUUGCGAAGCUUCCAAGUACAUUACAAAUCUUUGGCAAUAUGAUACAAGAUGAAUUGUUCAACAUUAAAAUAAAAGUACGAGACAAUGUUUCACUCUUUUUCAACAUACAAUGUGUUGAUGCCACGUAGACAAAGAAUCAAUGAAAAGGAAAACAAUAAAAGAUGUUAAGAAAAUGAA